GAAAAAGAUCAGAGAAGGGAGGAAUUCCUUUCUCUGGAAUAGCAGACCCUGGGCUUCAUGCUGGAGGGGUCAUCCUUAGUCUCUUGCCCUCUUUCUGCCCCCCCCCCCGCAAAAGGGGGACGGCGAUGCUGAUGCCCACCCCAGGAAUGCCCACUUUGACCCCGAUGGACCUGACUGUCAGAUCUAUGGGGAGACUGCUCCCCCCUCCCCCCAAGGCUCAGUUUGCCCCGGAAUUCACCAUCGGGAGCCGGGCCGCAUUCAUUCAGCUAGCGGAUGGUGUAGGACGCUCACUCGCCAGGCUGUAUCCCGAGGAGUUGCUCUCCUCGCUCCGCAGGAUGGCAAGGUCUUAGUUCCUGCAAGCCGGGCCCAGCAUAAUCGGCUAGACUAGG